rnacentral:rRNA from 1 species
UACGGAGGGGGCUAGCGUUGUUCGGAAUUACUGGGCGUAAAGCGCGCGUAGGCGGACCAGAAAGUUGGGGGUGAAAUCCCGGGGCUCAACCUCGGAACUGCCUUCAAAACUAUUGGUCUUGAGUUCGAGAGAGGUGAGUGGAAUUCCGAGUGUAGAGGUGAAAUUCGUAGAUAUUCGGAGGAACACCAGUGGCGAAGGCGGCUCACUGGCUCGAUACUGACGCUGAGGUGCGAAAGCGUGGGGAGCAAACAGG